CCUACGGGUGGCAGCAGUGGGGAAUAUUGGGCAAUGGGCGCAAGCCUGACCCAGCAAUGCCGCGUGAAGGAAGAAGGCUUUCUGGUUUUAAACUUCUUUUACUGGGGAAGAGCAGAAGACGGUACCCGGAAAACAACCUACGGCUAACUACGUGCCAUCAGCCGCGGUAAUACGUAGGUGGCAAGCGUUGUCCGGAUUUACUGGGUUGAAAGGGCGUGUAGCCUGGAAGGUAAGUCAGAUGUGAAAUCCUGAGGCUCAACCUCCGAAUUGCAUUUGAAACUGUUUUUCUUGAGUACUGGAGAGGUAGACGGAAUUCGUUGUGUAGCGGUGAAAUGCGUAGAUAUAAGGCGGAACACCAGUGGCGAAGGCGGUCUGCUGGACAGCAACUGACGGUGAGGCGCGAAAGCGUGGGGAGCAAACAGGAUUAGAUACCCGUGUAGUC
rnacentral:rRNA from 1 species